rnacentral:piRNA from 1 species
UGCUAGUGUGAACAGCCAACUGGGGGG